rnacentral:rRNA from 1 species
CCUACGGGCGGCAGCAGUGGGGAAUAUUGCACAAUGGGGGAAACCCUGAUGCAGCAACGCCGCGUGAGUGAAGAAGUAUUUCGGUGUGUAAAGCUCUAUCAGCAGGGAAGAAGAUGACGGUACCUGAAUAAGAAGCCCCGGCUAACUACGUGCCAGCAGCCGCGGUAAUACGUAGGGGGCAAGCGUUAUCCGGAUUUACUGGGUGUAAAGGGGGCGCAGACGGCAGUGCAAGUCUGGAGUGAAAGCCCGGGGCCCAACCCCGGAACUGCUCUGGAAACUGUGCGGCUAGAGUGCAGGAGGGGCAGGCGGAAUUCCUGGUGUAGCGGUGAAAUGCGUAGAUAUUAGGAGGAACACCGGUGGCGAAGGCGGCCUGCUGGACUGCAACUGACGUUGAGGCUCGAAAGCGUGGGGAGCAAACAGGAUUAGAUACCCGAGUAGUC